rnacentral:misc_RNA from 1 species
CCGAGUCUAUUUGGGCGGGUUGAGCUGGCCUUUCGGGGCAUGUGCUCGCCCUUCUAAUCCACUCUAUACACCUGUGCACCUAUUGUGGGUAUAAGAGCGUGAAAGGGGGUUGGAUAACGACCUCUGGAAGCGCGCAUAUACUCAUGUUUAUACACACUACGCAUGUCCUAGAAUGUCAUCUAUGCUAUAAAACGCAAUUUUUAAAUA